rnacentral:rRNA from 1 species
GACGAACGCUGGCGGCGUGCCUAAUACAUGCAAGUAGAACGCUGAAGGAGGAGCUUGCUUCUCCGGAUGAGUUGCGAACGGGUGAGUAACGCGUAGGUAACCUGCCUGGUAGCGGGGGAUAACUAUUGGAAACGAUAGCUAAUACCGCAUAACAGAAGAUGUUGCAUGACAUUUGCUUAAAAGGUGCAAUUGCAUCACUACCAGAUGGACCUGCGUUGUAUUAGCGAGUUGGUGGGGUAACGGCUCACCAAGGCGACGAUACAUAGCCGGCGUGAGAAGGGUGUCGGCCCCACUGGGACUGGGGCCCGGCCCAGGCUCCUACGGGGGGCAGCCGGAGGGGAUCUUCGGACAUGGACGGAAGUCUGACCGAGCAACGCCGCGUGAGGGAAGAAGGUUUUCGGAUCGUAAAGCUCUGUUGUUAGGGAAGAACGAGUGUGAGAGUGGAAAGUUCACACUGUGACGGUAUCUUACCAGAAAGGGACGGCUAACUACGUG